rnacentral:rRNA from 1 species
GAUGAACGCUAGCGGCAGGCCUAACACAUGCAAGUCGAGGGGUAACAGGAAAAAGCUUGCUUUUUUGCUGACGACCGGCGCACGGGUGCGUAACGCGUAUAGAACCUACCCUGUACAGGGGGAUAGCCCAUGGAAACGUGGAUUAAUACCCCGUAGAGAUCUCAAGUGGCAUCGCUUGAGGUUUAAAGUCUUUUAGGCGUUACGGGAUGGCUAUGCGUCUUAUUAGUUAGUAGGUGAGGUAACGGCUCACCUAGGCAGCGAUAAGUAGGGGCCCUGAGAGGGGGAUCCCCACACUGGUACUGAGACACGGACCAGACUCCUACGGGAGGCAGCAGUGAGGAAUAUUGGACAAUGGGCGGAAGCCUGAUCCAGCCAUGCCGCGUGCAGGAAGACGGCCCUAUGGGUUGUAAACUGCUUUUAUACGGGAAGAAUAACCACGACGUGUCGUGAGAUGACGGUACCGUAAGAAUAAGGACCGGCUAACUCCGUG